rnacentral:rRNA from 1 species
GCAAGCGUUGUUCGGAAUUACUGGGCGUAAAGGGCUCGUAGGCGGCCAACUAAGUCGGAUGUGAAAUCCCCAGGCUUAACCUGGGAACUGCAUCCGAUACUGGAUGGCUUGAAUCCGGGAGAGGGAUGCAGAAUUCCAGGUGUAGCGGUGAAAUGCGUAGAUAUCUGGAGGAAUACCGGUGGCGAAGGCGGCAUCCUGGACCGGCAUUGACGCUGAUGAGCGAAAGCUAGGGGAGCAAACGGG